UAAAGAUUCAUCGCUGAUAGAUAGGCAUGCGUUCCAUUAGGCAGUUGGCGGGGUAACGGCCCACCAAACCGACGAUGGAUAGGGGUUCUGAGAGGAAGGUCCCCCACAUUGGUACUGAGACACGGACCAAACUCCUACGGGAGGCAGCAGUGAGGAAUAUUGGUCAAUGGGCGUAAGCCUGAACCAGCCAAGUCGCGUGAGGGAUGAAGGUUCUAUGGAUCGUAAACCUCUUUUAUAAGGGAAUAAAGUGCGGGACGUGUCCCGUUUUGUAUGUACCUUAUGAAUAAGGAUCGGCUAACUCCGUGCCAGCAGCCGCGGUAAUACGGAGGAUCCGAGCGUUAUCCGGAUUUAUUGGGUUUAAAGGGUGCGUAGGCGGCCUUUUAAGUCAGCGGUGAAAGUCUGUGGCUCAACCAUAGAAUUGCCGUUGAAACUGGGAGGCUUGAGUAUGUUUGAGGCAGGCGGAAUGCGUGGUGUAGCGGUGAAAUGCUUAGAUAUCACGCAGAACCCCGAUUGCGAAGGCAGCCUGCCAAGCCAUGACUGACGCUGAUGCACGAAAGCGUGGGGAUCAAACAGGAUUAGAUACCCUGGUAGUCCACGCAGUAAAAGAUGAUCACUAGCUGUUUGCGAU
rnacentral:rRNA from 1 species